GACGAACGCUGGCGGCAUGCUUUACACAUGCAAGUCGAACGAGUGGCGCACGGGUGAGUAAUACAUCGGAACGUGUCCUAUCGUAGGGGAUAACUGAACGAAAGAUCAGCUCAUACCGCAUACGAUAGGAGCGGCCGCGGCGGGAUUAGCUAGUGGGUGAGGUAAAGGCUCACCAAGGCGACGAUCGGUAGCUGGUCUGAGAGGACGACCAGCCACACUGGGACUGAGACACGGCCCAGACUCCUACGGGAGGCAGCAGUGGGGAAUAUUGGACAAUGGGGGCAACCCUGAUCCAGCCAUGCCGCGUGCAGGAUGAAGGUCUUCGGAUUGUAAACUGCUUUUGGCAGGGAAGCGGUACCUGAAGAAUAAGCACCGGCUAACUACGUGCCAGCAGCCGCGGUAAUAC
rnacentral:rRNA from 1 species